rnacentral:misc_RNA from 1 species
GAUGAAGAACGCAGCGAAAUGCGAUAAGUAAUGUGAAUUGCAGAAUUCAGUGAAUCAUCGAAUCUUUGAACGCACAUUGCGCCCCUUGGUAUUCCGGGGGGCAUGCCUGUUCGAGCGUCAUUUCAACCCUCAAGCUUCUGCUUGGUCUUGGGCCGUGCCGGCAACGGCUGGCCUUAAAACUAGUGGCGGUGCCAUCGAGCUCUACGCGUAGUAAUUCUAUCUCGCGUCUGGGCUUCGGUGGACGCUGGCCAGCAACCCCCAAUUUUCUAUGGUUGACCUCGGAUCAGGUAGGGAUACCCGCUGAACUUAAGCAUAUCAUAAGCGGAGGA